rnacentral:tRNA from 4 species
CGGGGCGUAGCUCAGCCUGGUAGAGCGGAUGGUUUGGGACCAUCAGGUCGCACGUUCGAGUCGUGUCGCCCCGACCA